rnacentral:rRNA from 1 species
GAUGAACGCUGGCGGCGUGCCUAAUACAUGCAAGUCGAGCGAACGGACGAGAAGCUUGCUUCUCUGAUGUUAGCGGCGGACGGGUGAGUAACACGUGGAUAACCUACCUAUAAGACUGGGAUAACUUCGGGAAACCGGAGCUAAUACCGGAUGAUAUUUUGAACCGCAUGGUUCAAAAGUGAAAGACGGUCUUGCUGUUACUUAUAGAUGGAUCCGCGCUGCAUUAGCUAGUUGGUAAGGUAACGGCUUACCAAGGCAACGAUGCAUAGCCGACCUGAGAGGGUGAUCGGCCACACUGGAACUGAGACACGGUCCAGACUCCUACGGGAGGCAGCAGUAGGGAAUCUUCCGCAAUGGGCGAAAGCCUGACGGAGCAACGCCGCGUGAGUGAUGAAGGUCUUCGGAUCGUAAAACUCUGUUAUUAGGGAAGAACAGAUGUGUAAGUAACUGUGCACAUCUUGACGGUACCUAAUCAGAAAGCCACGGCUAACUACGUG